GAUGAACGCUGGCGGCGUGCCUAAUACAUGCAAGUCGAGCGAAAAGACGCGGCGCUUGUUCCUUUGACGUUAGCGGCGGACGGGUGAGUAACAUGUGGAUACUCUACCUAUAAGUCUGGUAUCAUUUCGGGACACCGGAGCAAAUACCGGAUAAUAUCUUGAACCGCAUGGUUCAAUAGUGAGUGUCGGUUUUGCUGUCUCUUCUAGAUGGAUCCGCGCCGCUUUAGCUAGUUGGUAAGGUAACGGCUUUCCAAGGCAACGAUGCGUAGCCGAGCUGAGAGGGGGAUCGGCCACACUGGAACUUGGACACGGUCCUGGCUCCUACGGGAGGCAGCAGUAGGGAAUCUUCCGCAAUGGGCGAGAGCCUGGCGGAGCGGCGCCGCGUGAGAUAUGAAGGUCUUCGGAUCGGAAUACUCUGUUAUGAGGGGAAAACAAAUGUGUAAGUAACUAUGCACGUCUUGACGGUACCUAGUCAGAAAGCCACGGCUAACUACGUG
rnacentral:rRNA from 1 species